GAUGAACGCUGGCGGCGUGCCUAAUACAUGCAAGUCGAGCGAACAGACGAGGAGCUUGCUCCUCUGACGUUAGCGGCGGACGGGUGAGUAACACGUGGAUAACCUACCUAUAAGACUGGGAUAACUUCGGGAAACCGGAGCUAAUACCGGAUAAUAUAUUGAACCGCAUGGUUCAAUAGUGAAAGACGGUUUUGCUGUCACUUAUAGAUGGAUCCGCGCCGCAUUAGCUAGUUGGUAAGGUAACGGCUUACCAAGGCAACGAUGCGUAGCCGACCUGAGAGGGUGAUCGGCCACACCGGAACUGAGACACGGUCCCGACUCCUAAGGGAGGCAGCAGUAGGGAAUCUUCCGCAAUUGGCGAAAGCCUGACGGAGCAACGCCGCGUGAGUGAUGAAGGUCUUCGGAUCGUAAAACUCUGUUAUUAGGGAAGAACAAAUGUGUAAGUAACUAUGCACGUCUUGACGGUACCUAAUCAGAAAGCCACGGCUAACUACGUG
rnacentral:rRNA from 1 species